rnacentral:pre_miRNA from 1 species
ACUGUAAGCUGCCUGUGUGUGUCAUACUCUGCCUGCCCUAUGCUGCCUGUAUGUGCCAUACACACAGGCAGCAUAGGACAGGCAGAGUAUGGCACACACAGGCA